rnacentral:rRNA from 2 species
AGACCCGAAACCCGGUGAUCUAGCCAUGGGCAGGUUGAAGGUUGGGUAACACUAACUGGAGGACCGAACCGACUAAUGUUGAAAAAUUAGCGGAUGACCUGUGGCUGGGGGUGAAAGGCCAAUCAAACCGGGAGAUAGCUGGUUCUCCCCGAAAGCUAUUUAGGUAGCGCCUCGUGAAUUCAUCUCCGGGGGUAGAGCACUGUUUCGGCUAGGGGGCCAUCCCGGCUUACCAACCCGAUGCAAACUGCGAAUACCGGAGAAUGUUAUCACGGGAGACACACGGCGGGUGCUAACGUCCGUCGUGAAGAGGGAAACAACCCAGACCGCCAGCUAAGGUCCCAAAGUCAUGGUUAAGUGGGAAACGAUGUGGGAAGGCCCAGACAGCCAGGAUGUUGGCUUAGAAGCAGCCAUCAUUUAAAGAAAGCGUAAUAGCUCACUGGUCGAGUCGGCCUGCGCGGAAGAUGUAACGGGGCUAAACCAUGCACCGAAGCUGCGGCAGCGACGCUGAUGCGUUGUUGGGUAGGGGAGCGUUCUGUAAGCCUGUGAAGGUGGCCUGUGAGGGUUGCUGGAGGUAUCAGAAGUGCGAAUGCUGACAUAAGUAACGAUAAAGCGGGUGAAAAGCCCGCUCGCCGGAAGACCAAGGGUUCCUGUCCAACGUUAAUCGGGGCAGGGUGAGUCGACCCCUAAGGCGAGGCCGAAAGGCGUAGUCGAUGGGAAACGGGUUAAUAUUCCCGUACUUGGUGUUACUGCGAAGGGGGGACGGAGAAGGCUAUGUUGGCCGGGCGACGGUUGUCCCGGUUUAAGCGUGUAGGUGUGUGUUCCAGGUAAAUCCGGUUCACUUUAACACUGAGGCGUGAUGACGAGGCACUACGGUGCUGAAGCAACAAAUGCCCUGCUUCCAGGAAAAGCCUCUAAGCAUCAGGUAACAUCAAAUCGUACCCCAAACCGACACAGGUGGUCAGGUAGAGAAUACCAAGGCGCUUGAGAGAACUCGGGUGAAGGAACUAGGCAAAAUGGUGCCGUAACUUCGGGAGAAGGCACGCUGACAC